rnacentral:rRNA from 1 species
AACGAACGCUGGCGGCAUGCCUAACACAUGCAAGUCGAACGUGAUCCGCAGCUUCGGUUGCGGUGAAAGUGGCAAACGGGUGAGUAACGCGUGGGAACCUGCCCAGAGGUAGGGAAUAACUGCGGGAAACUGCGGCUAAUACCCUAUGUGUCCUGAGGGACAAAGAUUUAUCGCCUUUGGAGGGGCCCGCGUCGGAUUAGGUAGUUGGUGGGGUAACGGCCUACCAAGCCAUCGAUCCGUAGCUGGUCUGAGAGGAUGAUCAGCCACACUGGGACUG